GGUUCCGGGGAAAAAUGGCUGGGCGGCCGAAGGUUGGAAGAGCAUUGUGAAGAGUUUUAAUGAAAAGUUUCCAUCUGAUCGGUUUACAAAGGGCCAAAUACAAGAAAAGAGAAAGAGCUUAAAGCAAACUACAAGGCAAUCCGUGAUGGAAAAAAGAAAAGUGGUGCAGGAUGGAAUGAAUCUUUGUGCAUGAUUAAUGCUGAGCCAGUAAUAUGGGAAAAGCUUAUCCAUGAUAUUCCAAGGCUGAAGAAAUUCCAAGCAAAAUCAUUCCCUUUGUUUUAUGAACUGGAAAAACUGCAUGAAGGAAGCAUUGCUACAGGUGAUUUAAACUUCACAUCAGCUGAACUAGCACCCCAACCAAUUGAACAUGUUAGCACUAUUGAUAUUGAUGCUCAUGAUUCUCACCUUAACCCUUUCCUUGCAAAUGUGGAUGAUCACAUGCCAUCUAGUGGACCCAUAGACAUAGAUGAGAUAGAAACACCAUCUUCAUCUUGCUCUAAAAUCUUGAAAAUAGGAUUGGGAAGAAAAGAAAGCUCAGUAUUGCUGGAGUUUUACAAAACUAUGUGGACAUUAGGGCAAAUGAAACAAAAAUAUUUAUGAAUGAACUCAAUGAGACAACUAAGGAAGCAGGUGACUAUUCUAUUAAGCGGUGUAUAGAUCUUUUAGAAACAAUUGAAGAACUUUCAGAUGAGGAAAUGGCACAAGCAACAAAUGUGCUGAAGUGUGAGGUAAACAGAUAAAUUUUCAUGAACUUCAAGAUUACAAAGGUUCGUUUGUUAUGGGUCAAAAUUGAAAUCGCUCCUAAGGUAACUUUCAUAUGUUUGU